UAUAAUUGUACCAAAAUACACUUUUAAGAAAUAUAUUAAAUAAAAGUAUACUUUAAGUGAACAAAAUAUGUAUUUACCCAAGUGCAAAUAUACACUUGCUCAAGUGUACAUUUAAAAUAUAUUUUAAAGAUACUUUGUGUAUAGUUUAAAAUAUAUGCUCAAAGUUGAAUUUUUUAAAAUAAAAUUCACUUAACGCUUACUUUAAAUUAUUAAUUUCAGUAUGUUUUAACUUACAUCUCAGUCUAUACUUUAGGCUAAUAAAGUAUGCUUUUUUAGGUGCCUUAAUUUUAUUGUGACUUUUAUGAUUAUUACUAUAACAAUCAUUCAGCUUCAUGUUAUAACUGCAUAAAGGCUUUCUUUGUUGGGACUUAAUAGUUUUCUUUAUAAACUUAACCUGGUUUUAAUUUAGCUCAGUAUGCCAAAGAGAAUUUGAUAUUGCUAGGUUGUUGUUAUAACUUGUUCAUCAUUGUUUUUAUCUUCAACAUAUUUUUGCAGUCUAAGCAAAUGAAGAUGAAAGAGGAAGCCAGAGAAAUCAGGUGUUAGGAAAACUAAAGACUUUCCUGUCUCAGAAGAGGCUCUGGCUCCACCAGAUCAACAACCACCACUGAGGAUGAACCUCCACAUGGUCUUCAUGGGGCCCUGUGAUAGACUGGUGACCUGUCCAGGGUGAACCCCACCUCUCAUCUGAUGACUGCUAGAGAUGGUCACCACCAGCCCCCCUCGCCACCCUGCAAGGAUCAGUGUGUUCAGAUCAUGGAUGGAAAGCUUUUAAGGUAGUUUGUCUCCUUAAGUCCACACUUAAAACAGCUUCAUAGUUAUUGCCAACAUCAACUGACUCUAUGAUAUUGCUGACUAUUUUUUUCUACUUCUAACAUAAACAGGCAAAGA